UCUAAUACUGGAUAUGUGACGUGACCGCAUGGUCUGCGUCUGGAAAGAAUUUCGGUUGGGGAUGGGCUCGCGGCCUAUCAGCUUGUUGGUGAGGUAAUGGCUCACCAAGGCGUCGACGGGUAGCCGGCCUGAGAGGGUGACCGGCCACACUGGGACUGAGACACGGCCCAGACUCCUACGGGAGGCAGCAGUGGGGAAUAUUGCACAAUGGGCGCAAGCCUGAUGCAGCAACGCCGCGUGAGGGACGACGGCCUUCGGGUUGUAAACCUCUUUUAGCAGGGAAGAAGCGAAAGUGACGGUACCUGCAGAAAAAGCGCCGGCUAACUACGUGCCAGCAGCCGCGGUAAUACGUAGGGCGCAAGCGUUAUCCGGAAUUAUUGGGCGUAAAGAGCUCGUAGGCGGUUUGUCGCGUCUGCUGUGAAAUCCGGAGGCUCAACCUCCGGCCUGCAGUGGGUACGGGCAGACUAGAGUGCGGUAGGGGAGAUUGGAAUUCCUGGUGUAGCGGUGGAAUGCGCAGAUAUCAGGAGGAACACCGAUGGCGAAGGCAGAUCUCUGGGCCGUAACUGACGCUGAGGAGCGAAAGGGUGGGGAGCAAACAGGCUUAGAUACCCUGGUAGUCCACCCCGUAAACGUUGGGAACUAGUUGUGGGGUCCAUUCCACGGAUUCCGUGACGCAGCUAACGCAUUAAGUUCCCCGCCUGGGGAGUACGGCCGCAAGGCUAAAACUCAAAGGAAUUGACGGGGACCCGCACAAGCGGCGGAGCAUGCGGAUUAAUUCGAUGCAACGCGAAGAACCUUACCAAGGCUUGACAUAUACGAGAACGGGCCAGAAAUGGUCAACUCUUUGGACACUCGUAAAC
rnacentral:rRNA from 1 species